CCUUAGCCGAUGGUCAACGGGUUGAAAGUCCCGUCCCGUCUUGCAGUGUUGAACCACAGAGGGACACUGGAACGAAGGAGGAGCGGCUUUGUGGAUGGCCGUCUAACUGUGUAGGGGCAACCCGAGACAGGAAUGCGAGGACUGCGGGGCAACCCAACGUUCAAGUCUUCUGGAGUCGACAGGCGAGAAAAGCUCUGUGCGGAACUGCAAGAUGUCCGUACCGGAAACCGACACAGGUGGGUGAGGCGAGCAGCCUCAGGUGAACGAGUGAAACGUGGUCAAGGAACUCGGCAUAAUGAUCCCGUAACUUCGGAAGAAGGGAUGCCAGAGACGGUGUAGGGAACACCGAAGCUGUUUCUGGUCGCAGCGAAUCGGCCCAAGCGACUGUUUAGCAAAAACACAGGUGUGUGCCAAGCCGCACAAGGCGCCGUAUACACACUGACGCCUGCCCGGUGCCGGAAGGUUAAGGGUAGAGGUUAGCCGCAAGGCGAAGCUUUGAGCCGAAGCCCCGGUAAACGGCGGCCGUAACAAUAACGGUCCUAAGGUAGCGAAAUUCCUUGUCGGGUAAGUUCCGACCUGCACGAGUGGCGUAACGACUUGGGCACUGUCUCGACCACGUGCUCGGCGAAAUUGCAGUCUCGGUGAGGAUUCCGAGUCCCCGCGACAGGACAAAAAGACCCCAUGCACCUUUACUGUAGCUUGUCAUUGGUCGUUGCACAUCGCUGUGUAGCAUAGGUGGGAGUCGAUGAGCCCGGGGCGCUAGCUCCGGGGGAGACAUCAGUGAAAUACCACCCUGCGUCGUGCGACGCCCUCACCACGGCGGGAACACCCCGUCUGGGACCGUGGCAGGUGGGCAGUUUGACUGGGGCGGUCGCCUCCGAAACAGUAACGGAGGCGCGCGCAAGGUUGGCUCAGCGCGGACGGUACUCGCGCUUCUAGAGUGUAACGGCAGAAGCCAGCCUGACGGUGAGAUCGACGGAUCGAGCCGCCACGAAAGUGGGCCGUAGUGAUCCGGUAGCCCGGGGUGGAGCGGCUAUCGCGCAACGGAUAAAAGGUACGCUGGGGAUAACAGGCUUAUCGCGCCCGAGAGUUCACAUCGACGGCGCGGUUUGGCACCUCGAUGUCGGCUUAUCACAUCCUGGGGCUGGAGAAGGUCCCAAGGGUCCGGCUGUUCGCCGGUUAAAGUGGUACAUGAGCUGGGUUCAGAACGUCGUGAGACAGUUCGGUCUGUAUCCGUCGUGGGCGUUGGAGAGUUGAGGGGAGCGGACUCUAGUACGAGAGGACCGAGUCGGACGACCCGCUCGUGUCCCGGUUGUCCUGCCAAGGGCACCGCCGGGUAGCGAUGGUUGGCUGUGAUAACCGCUGAAAGCAUCUAAGUGGGAAGCACGCCCCAAGAUGAACUCUCCCGAGGCCUUGAGCCUCUUGAAGGGCCGGGGAAGACCACCCCGUCGAUAGGCCGCCCGUGGACGUCCCGCAAGGGAUUCCAAGCGCAGCGGUCCUAAUCGCCCGUACGGCUUGACUAC
rnacentral:rRNA from 1 species